rnacentral:lncRNA from 1 species
AAUAAUUAAAAACAAUGUGGCAAUCAUUCAACGAUCGGCAUUUGGCGAUAUAUCAGAUAGUAGUGAUGGCUCACAUUCAUUUGUCUCUAUUUGAUGGUAGCACUAUAGUUGCCAUUUUAUCUGGGAAGCAUGUGAGACACCAUCGUUUCUUCUCUACUGACGACGACAUAGCCAUUGCGUAGGGAAGAAAAUUUAGAGUUUAAUAGCAUUCGUGGUGUUGCACUAGGAGCACUUUUGCCAGACAUCGAUGACAGCAUCAGCGACACUACCAACACAAGUAAUGACUUUGCCAUUUUGUUGUUUUUGAAAAAUUAAAUUUCUAAAUAUUAUAUAUUAUAUUGCUUUGAUGCAUGGAUAUUUUUGAAAAUA